GACGAACGCUGGCGGCGGGCUUAACACAUGCAAGUCGAACGGAAAGGCCCUGCUUUUGUGGGGUGCUCGAGGGACGAACGGGUGAGUAACACGUGAGUAACCUGCCCUUGACGUGGUGAUAACUGCAGGAGACUGGGGCUAAUACCGGAGAGGAGCGCGUGCUGGAGGGUGGGGUUCGGAAAUCUUGGUCGGUGGGGGCUAGACGCGCGGCUUAUCAGCUGGUGGGGGGGGGAGUUGCUUACCAAGGCUUUGACGGGUAGCCGGCCUGAGAGGGUGACCGGCCACAUUGGGACUGCGAUACGGACCAGACUCCUACGGGAGGCAGCAGGGGGGAACAUUGCACAACGGGCGGAAGUCUGAGGAAGAAGCGCCGCGUGCGGGAUGACGGCCUUCGGGUUGUAAACCGCAUUAGCCUGUGACGAAGCGUGAGUGACGGUAAUAGGUAAAGAAGCACCGGCUAACUACGUG
rnacentral:rRNA from 1 species